GGUAAGGCUAUAAAAAGGAAAAUUUAAAAAAAAAAGAACAAAAAUACAUACUGAGUAAGUUAGAUUCUCUCUGUGCCUGCAAGUUCAUUCUAAAAGUACCCCUUUAUUUUUAGGCCUGGGGAAGUUUUCUUUUCCCCAAGCCCUCUCCCUCCUGUCCCCAGCCAAAGAAAGCUCCUGCCUCCCUCUUCCCCCUUCCUAAGAACCUAAACCUGGGAGGAGUUCAUGGUGUCCUGUGUUUGUCACCAACUGCUAACUCGCCAUCAUUGCCUGGCUAGUCUCUACCAAAGAAACUCAUCUGUGAUAUAUGCAAAAUACCUUUAUGAUGUUGAAGAUUAAGGUUUAAUCUAUGCAGUUACAUAAAAGAAAAAGCAAAGAUCAGCUUUAAAACAAAAAAAUAAAAGAGUUGGUUAAAAAGAAUGCAAAUUUUAAGUUACUAAUUCACCUUUUUACUCCCAAGAUUUUAUAAUAAUCUCGUUUCUGCGACUGUUUCAAUAGCCUCUGGGCUUUCUCGAGACCUUCUCGAAUCUGCUGGUCAUUCUCAUUGUGUUCCUGAGCAGUUUCAUAAUCCUGAAUGGCUGUCAAAAUAUGUUGAAGAUAAUGCUGUAAGAGGAAUUACAACUUCUGACCCUGCACGUGUGAUGCUGACGUCACCAUCCCCAACCCCUUCUUUUGCAUUACAACCGAAGAGGUGACAUCACCUUCACCAUUUUGUUCAAAACUAUGAAAGACAUUAUUUUAAGUAUUCAGAAAGUACAAGGCAUCUGGAAAUCUAACAUGCACAGAAGAGUCAACACCGCAGGCCUGAGAUACCCCAGAGAAGGGCCUGCUUGCCCUUGGCUGGUGACUGAGAGGCUGUUCCCUCCAUUCCCUGAAAAGAAUGGCUCACAGACCUAAGCUGUUUGUACAAACAAUGUGGUUUAUGCUAAAUGUCUCGCCUUCUGGGAGUCUGGAAUUUCAGCACAGGCCAGGCAGAAGGUGCCCACCUGGCCAGCCCCCAGUAAAACCGGCUCUCUAAGGGGCUUACCUGGGAGACACCUGCACGCACUGUGGAAUCAAGCUUGUUGCAUGACUGUCAGAGACGCCUAGACACUUCCGCCCGGUCUCCUGGGGGGUCUCAGCCCUGCGCCUUUUCCCUCUGCUGAGCCUGUUUUGUGUCUUUUCACUAGAAUAAAUCUUAGCCCUCAGAACA